AGUGAACGCUGGCGGUAGGCCUAACACAUGCAAGUCGAACGGCAGCACAGUAAGAGCUUGCUCUUACGGGUGGCGAGUGGCGGACGGGUGAGGAAUACAUCGGAAUCUACUUUUUCGUGGGGGAUAACGUAGGGAAACUUACGCUAAUACCGCAUACGACCUACGGGUGAAAGCAGGGGAUCUUCGGACCUUGCGCGAUUGAAUGAGCCGAUGUCGGAUUAGCUAGUUGGCGGGGUAAAGGCCCACCAAGGCGACGAUCCGUAGCUGGUCUGAGAGGAUGAUCAGCCUCACUGGAACUGAGACACGGUCCAGACUCCUACGGGAGGCAGCAGUGGGGAAUAUUGGACAAUGGGCGCAAGCCUGAUCCAGCCAUACCGCGUGGGUGAAGAAGGCCUUCGGGUUGUAAAGCCCUUUUGUUGGGAAGGAAAAGCAGCAGGUUAAUACCCCGCUGUUCUGACGGUACCCAAAGAAUAAGCACCGGCUAACUUCGUG
rnacentral:rRNA from 1 species